rnacentral:lncRNA from 1 species
GUGCAGGACCUACUAUUUCAUCCUCAAUCCCUCCAUUACAUCCAAACCUCGUAAACCCAUUAUUACCGGAUACAACUGAUUCCGUAGUGGAAAAAGGUGCAAGAGAAACUCUCCGGCUACUCAUUAGUGGUUCGACACACAGCAACCCUCCAUUAAUUGAUGUAUUACCGGCAGUUGACAAAAAAAGUAUCCUUGUUACCGGAAGCAGAGGUCUAUACAGCGGAACUAGGGACAUAAGUGCCCUUGCCAGUGGCAUUGCCACCGUGAGUUUCGCUACACUGUCAUCCACCUCCAUGUCAGAUAGCUUUACAAAACAUCCCGAUUCAAAGCAGGUCGGAUCUAGUGACUCGGAAGGAGCUUGUUCAAGCAGUGAUGCUAAACUUUUGGACUCGGAAAGAAGUUAAAUAGUGAAUAAGUAAAUAAAUAAAUGCAGGCAAU